CAGUCGCCGCGGUAAUACGUAGGGUGCAAGCGUUAAUCGGAAUUACUGGGCGUAAAGCGUGCGCAGGCGGUUUGUUAAGACAGAUGUGAAAUCCCCGGGCUCAACCUGGGAACUGCAUUUGUGACUGGCAAGCUAGAGUAUGGCAGAGGGGGGUGGAAUUCCGCGUGUAGCAGUGAAAUGCGUAGAUAUGCGGAGGAACACCGAUGGCGAAGGCAGCCCCCUGGGCCAAUACUGACGCUCAUGCACGAAAGCGUGGGGAGCAAACAGGAUUAGAUACCCCUGUAGUCCCUGUCUCUUAUAC
rnacentral:rRNA from 1 species